AACAAAUUCGAAAUAUAAGGAAGACGAUUGUUCCGACUCAAAUGCCGAUGUUAAUUCCCUGGAUGUGUGUGUACACUGAAUACACAGAAUCCUUUUCCGCCAUACAACACACCCCACAUGUCAAAUCUCCGCUCAACCUAGCUCCCGCUUCACCAGUCAGUCAGCGGAAAACACUCACGAGAUUCACAACUCCGUCUCAACCCUGGCUCCUUUGUGAUGAUGAUUCAGAUACGGAACCAACAACAGAAGACACUGCUUACACCUAGCUCCGCGCUCCACAAAGUUCCAGAGAUCCGGGCGGAACCAGACUUCCUUCCAUUAUCCUGUAUACAGGAUAAGUCCGCAAUCUCUCCCUCCCACAGGAGAAGGUAACAAUAGUUCGCUCCGCAAUGUUCCAGAGAUCCGGGCGGAACCAGACUUCCUUCCAUUAUCCUGUAUACAGGAUAAGUCCGCAAUCUCUCUCCCUUAGACUAAGCCUAGUUGUGAGAAAGCCUGCCGUCAAGAUUGAUGAUCUGCAUCACCAUCAUGAAGUUCUACAAACACCUUCCAACCGAUAUUCGUCUAUAGUUUCUUUAUUAAUUUCUAUACCAGCCAAUUUAAGCCCCACUCGGGAAAAUAUUUCAUAACCUUUUGUUUUUAUAAAUAAAGAUUAGAAAUACCGUUA